GAUUGUACAUAUUCAUAUCUUAAUAUAAUAAAAAUUGAAAAAAAAAAACUACAAUAAAUGAAAGGGAUCGUAUCUUUGUCUUCAACAUAAUAUGAGCUACCACAUCACCCAAACAUGAACAAAGGGAUCGUAUCUUUGUUUGACCAACCAAAAAACAAUUGAUUCAUUGAUCUAAAAUAGUUUAUAUAACAAGAAAAAGCAAGAAAAAAAAAUCACCGUGGGAUAAGGAAAAAAAAAAUGGAGAAAGAAGCAGCCCUGAAAGUCCUUAGCAACCACAAGGUCAAUUGGGAUUCAUAAACUCCGCUCGUCAGAGUAGUUUCGCCUUUUUUUUUUUCUUGGCCAUCAAUCUGAGGUUGGUCUCAUUACCGUUUUAAGAAAGCAACCGUGAUGCUUCUAUCAAGCAAUACAAACAAGCAAACUAUUCUUUGAGAGCAUGACAGAUGUAGCCAAAUCAAGUUCACAAUUUUGCAAUCUUACCAAAGCAACAAAUCAAUAAAAUUUUCCGGAAGCUAUACGAGCACAAUUUUGGGCAGAUUUAUCUUAGAUCCUUUCCCUGAUCACACACAUAGAGCCAUUUACCUUGUGCUAGAAAAUCGUGAAAAACACAUUCUUGGACUUCUUCCAUAAACACUUGAAGCCAUUCACCUGUACUCAACUCAUGGAUGAAAAGUAGAGAUUCUAUGCUAGAUCAGGACAUUGUGUUGAUGCAAACCAGACAAGGAUGAAUGCAUUGCAGGUUCAACGCUACUCGAAGAAGCAAACAGUACGCAAGACUACAAAACAGAGUGCAGAUAUGCAGAUAUGGAGGGCAAUGACAAACAGCUUCAUAACCAUCUAGCAGAAAUGCAAAUGCCGUAGGUAGGACAGAAGCUUUGUUGCAGAAGAAUGCAGUAAAAAAGUCGCCGUAAUUUCAACAUGUGAUUCAAGCUACAAGAUCGUAGGUAGGACAGAGGCUUUGCUGCAGAAGAAUGCAGAAAAAAGUGGUGUACCCUACCAAGUUUCUGAACAUUUGUAAUUUCAACAUGGGAUUCAAGCUGAAUAACAUGCAGGGGGCGACGAGGAGAUAACGUGCAGAGAAGCAGAGACGGAGAAAAACCAUGUGCGGUAAGAGGUGAAACGAUGCCGUUUUAGCCGAAAACCACACCUCAGAACAAACACAUAAAUCAUUCAGAAACAAAUACCCCAUACAGAUUAAUACUACCAUAAUAAGUCAAGAUUAAGCAUUAUAAAAAGCAAUAAGGUUGCAAUUUAAAGUAUGAAAGAGACCUCCAAGAUUCAGUAAGCAGCUGAGACAGCAAGCCAGCCAACAACAAGUGUCCUACUCUUUAGCGGCACAAAACACUUCGAUGAAGCCAUCCAAACCAAGUUUCUAACAAGCCUCAUUGUCAGGACAAGAACAUAACUAAUAUCAACGGGUCCUAUUAGAACUACAAUAUAGCAUAUAUUGCCUCCUUUAAUGUCCUUCCAUUCUUGCUUCAGUUCGGCUUCCAGCCCUAAUCUCCAUUAGCAUAAGGUGAAUCACGACGGGCAUGACGGUAUGGAGGGGAUCCGCUGUAACUGCAACCACGGUGAGGUGAUAGGCUGCGGCGUCUUGGAGAUCUUCUACCAUGGGGGCUAUAACUCCUGCGUCCAUACCCAUAACUUGGACUCCUAUGGCGUCGUGGGCUGGGACUUCUGCGACGCCCACUUCCCAAACCUCGUGACCCAAUGCGCAAGCGGCACUCUUGAGCAAAAUGACCAGGUUCAUCGCAUUCAUAACAUUUCAAGUUGUCACCACCACGUCCUCGUCCACCACGGCCUCCACUCUUGGAAUUAUGAGAAAGCUCCACACGCCACCCAUUCUUUCCAUCUAAUGCACGAAUUGCAUCCACAGCAUCCCUGCGAUCAUCGAACUCAACAAAUGCAUAUCCUGGUGGCCUUCGUGCAACCCACACACUUCUAAGAACACCAUACAUUCUGAAUUCAUCUUCGAGAUCCCUUUCUGAGACUCUCGGAUCCAAAUUCCCCACGUAAACCCGAGCCAUUAUCACAACCAGAAUAUGCACCAACCGAUUAGAGUUUUAAAGAACCCAAGUAGAAUUGAUGGUUGCAAACAGAAAAAACAGAUUGAGCAAACGAGAAUUAGUAGCAGGCGUAAAUAAGGGUGAUGAUUCAAGGACUCGAAAAGAUGAAAAAGGGCGAUUGAAUUUAACCAUGCAGGGAAACGCGGAGCUAUUAAAACCCUAGAAAUACGCAAUGGUCCGGUUCCGGUUCCGGUUCCGGCUUGAAACAGAUUCCGGGCCGUGGCUCAUGAUCUGAAUCAGG
rnacentral:misc_RNA from 1 species